CCACACCUGAACCCAUUUCUCCUGAUUGCUGUAAAAGAUGGCUGGAGCCCUCGGUUGUUUCUCUUUCUUCUACUCAGACGACAGGAACCGGGCGGAGCGGCUAUUUUUACCUGAAGCCCACGAGUGAGCCCAACGCAAGGUGAAGCGGGAAAGGGGGAGCGGAAUUUGGGCAACGUUUGGGAGUGUGAAUCAGCUUCAAGUGGAACCAGGGUUUAUCUCACCUCCAACUAUACACCAGCUGUGCAGAUGUCAUACUGUGGAAAGCUGCUGUUUGGAGAGACAGACCCUAAGAACCACAGCCCAAAUCUGUGGAUCCUUUCAGUGGAGCCUCUCUCAGCUCAUUGUUUAGUUUUGUUGGUGUUACAGCCCCCGCUAACUUUACUGUUCCUGGCUCAGUCCCUCUGCUCUCAUUAAUCUUGUUUCCUAUCACAGCAUUCAGCUGUUUUAGCUAAAAAGCUGAUGCACCCACAGUUCAAACCAGUCUGUCAACGAACAACGGAACAAAGUUAGGGACUCCCUGCUUAAAGAAGUGGAGUAUUUAGGAGCUAAAGAGCCGAUCGUUCUCAGCGACUGGUGCAGACAAAAACAUAAUUGAGUAGAAUGAAUAUGGCACAUGCAUUGUGGAUUAAACGUAGAUUAAUACACAUCUAAUAGAAAGGCUGACUUUAUUUUACUUGGCCUUUCAGACAUGCACUGGACAUUUUCCUGAAAUUGCUCCUCAAACAAACAGAGGAAGCUCAACGGCUGCACGGACACUGACAGGAAAUUGGAUAGUUUCUUACCAUGAACACAAAACUCAACUCAACUAAAGUGUGUGCACCUAAAAAUA